GUCGAGCGGAGAGAGGUAGCUUGCUACUGAUCUUAGCGGCGGACGGGUGAGUAAUGCUUAGGAAUCUGCCUAUUAGUGGGGGACAACAUCUCGAAAGGGAUGCUAAUACCGCAUACGUCCUACGGGAGAAAGCAGGGGAUCUUCGGACCUUGCGCUAAUAGAUGAGCCUAAGUCGGAUUAGCUAGUUGGUGGGGUAAAGGCCUACCAAGGCGACGAUCUGUAGCGGGUCUGAGAGGAUGAUCCGCCACACUGGGACUGAGACACGGCCCAGACUCCUACGGGAGGCAGCAGUGGGGAAUAUUGGACAAUGGGGGGAACCCUGAUCCAGCCAUGCCGCGUGUGUGAAGAAGGCCUUAUGGUUGUAAAGCACUUUAAGCGAGGAGGAGGCUACUUUAGUUAAUACCUAGAGAUAGUGGACGUUACUCGCAGAAUAAGCACCGGCUAACUCUGUGCCAGCAGCCGCGGUAAUACAGAGGGUGCAAGCGUUAAUCGGAUUUACUGGGCGUAAAGCGCGCGUAGGCGGCUAAUUAAGUCAAAUGUGAAAUCCCCGAGCUUAACUUGGGAAUUGCAUUCGAUACUGGUUAGCUAGAGUGUGGGAGAGGAUGGUAGAAUUCCAGGUGUAGCGGUGAAAUGCGUAGAGAUCUGGAGGAAUACCGAUGGCGAAGGCAGCCAUCUGGCCUAACACUGACGCUGAGGUGCGAAAGCAUGGGGAGCAAACAGGAUUAGAUACCCUGGUAGUCCAUGCCGUAAACGAUGUCUACUAGCCGUUGGGGCCUUUGAGGCUUUAGUGGCGCAGCUAACGCGAUAAGUAGACCGCCUGGGGAGUACGGUCGCAAGACUAAAACUCAAAUGAAUUGACGGGGGCCCGCACAAGCGGUGGAGCAUGUGGUUUAAUUCGAUGCAACGCGAAGAACCUUACCUGGCCUUGACAUAGUAAGAACUUUCCAGAGAUGGAUUGGUGCCUUCGGGAACUUACAUACAGGUGCUGCAUGGCUGUCGUCAGCUCGUGUCGUGAGAUGUUGGGUUAAGUCCCGCAACGAGCGCACCCUUUUCCUUAUUUGCCNNCGAGUAAUGUCGGGAACUUUAAGGNACUGCCAGUGACAACUGGAGGAAGGCGGGAAANNUCAGUCAUCUGGCCUUAGGGCAGGGUUACCCCUGCUACA
rnacentral:rRNA from 1 species